rnacentral:misc_RNA from 1 species
CAGAGUUGAUCCAACUCCCAAACCCAUGUGAACUUAUCUCUUUGUUGCCUCGGCGCAAGCUACCCGGGACCUCGCGCCCCGGGCGGCCCGCCGGCGGACAAACCAAAACUCUUGUUAUCUUAGUUGAUUAUCUGAGUGUCUUAUUUAAUAAGUCA